AUUGAACAUAAGAGUUUGAUCCUGGCUCAGAUUGAACGCUGGCGGCAUGCUUUACACAUGCAAGUCGGACGGCAGCACAGGGAAGCUUGCUUCUCGGGUGGCGAGUGGCGAACGGGUGAGUAACAUAUCGGAACGUACCGGGUAGCGGGGGAUAACUGAUCGAAAGAUCAGCUAAUACCGCAUACGUCUUGAGAGGGAAAGCAGGGGACCUUCGGGCCUUGCGCUAUCCGAGCGGCCGAUAUCUGAUUAGCUGGUUGGCGGGGUAAAGGCCCACCAAGGCGACGAUCAGUAGCGGGUCUGAGAGGAUGAUCCGCCACACUGGGACUGAGACACGGCCCAGACUCCUACGGGAGGCAGCAGUGGGGAAUUUUGGACAAUGGGCGCAAGCCUGAUCCAGCCAUGCCGCGUGUCUGAAGAAGGCCUUCGGGUUGUAAAGGACUUUUGUCAGGGAAGAAAAGGCCGUUGCCAAUAUCGGCGGCCGAUGACGGUACCUGAAGAAUAAGCACCGGCUAACUACGUGCCAGCAGCCGCGGUAAUACGUAGGGUGCGAGCGUUAAUCGGAAUUACUGGGCGUAAAGCGGGCGCAGACGGUUACUUAAGCAGGAUGUGAAAUCCCCGGGCUCAACCCGGGAACUGCGUUCUGAACUGGGUGACUCGAGUGUGUCAGAGGGAGGUGGAAUUCCACGUGUAGCAGUGAAAUGCGUAGAGAUGUGGAGGAAUACCGAUGGCGAAGGCAGCCUCCUGGGAUAACACUGACGUUCAUGUCCGAAAGCGUGGGUAGCAAACAGGAUUAGAUACCCUGGUAGUCCACGCCCUAAACGAUGUCAAUUAGCUGUUGGGCAACUUGAUUGCUUGGUAGCGUAGCUAACGCGUGAAAUUGACCGCCUGGGGAGUACGGUCGCAAGAUUAAAACUCAAAGGAAUUGACGGGGACCCGCACAAGCGGUGGAUGAUGUGGAUUAAUUCGAUGCAACGCGAAGAACCUUACCUGGUUUUGACAUGUGCGGAAUCCUCCGGAGACGGAGGAGUGCCUUCGGGAGCCGUAACACAGGUGCUGCAUGGCUGUCGUCAGCUCGUGUCGUGAGAUGUUGGGUUAAGUCCCGCAACGAGCGCAACCCUUGUCAUUAGUUGCCAUCAUUCGGUUGGGCACUCUAAUGAGACUGCCGGUGACAAGCCGGAGGAAGGUGGGGAUGACGUCAAGUCCUCAUGGCCCUUAUGACCAGGGCUUCACACGUCAUACAAUGGUCGGUACAGAGGGUAGCCAAGCCGCGAGGCGGAGCCAAUCUCACAAAACCGAUCGUAGUCCGGAUUGCACUCUGCAACUCGAGUGCAUGAAGUCGGAAUCGCUAGUAAUCGCAGGUCAGCAUACUGCGGUGAAUACGUUCCCGGGUCUUGUACACACCGCCCGUCACACCAUGGGAGUGGGGGAUACCAGAAGUAGGUAGGGUAACCGCAAGGAGUCCGCUUACCACGGUAUGCUUCAUGACUGGGGUGAAGUCGUAACAAGGUAGCCGUAGGGGAACCUGCGGCUGGAUCACCUCCUUUCU
rnacentral:rRNA from 1 species